AUGCAAAAAAGGACUUUGGCGUAUAUGCAUAGCACGACAUUGUGUGAACCUGUGUUAUAUGUACGCAAAAGGAAGAGAGUGGGUUGGUUCAAGGAUAUGAGUCCAACAAAAACACGCAAUACACAAUUUACCAAAUCACAUGGUUUGGUCCAUGUGCAUAAUUUGUGGUGGACAAUUUGUUUAAUGUUGUCUUGCUAUCUUCCUCUGUCCUUUCUCCAGGCUAGUGUACGUGACAGUGUGACUCGUCCUUCUAGGCAGACUAAUAUACCGCGUAUGAGUGCUGUUGGAGUCCGGUCCCUGCUGCCCGAGGAUGGCAUCCCUGUGGUGCAAGAGCAACUAGAAAACUCAGUGUCCAGCCUUAGGGGCAUUGAGGGAAAAACAGUGGAUGUGAAUGACCUGGCAGAAGACAUCAGGAUGGAGGAGAGGUUCAGCUGGGACCACAGGAACCUGCCGGAGAAAGGAGAGCAAGGCUCCCCCCUGGGGGUGGACACAGGGGGGGGCAGGGACAUAGAGAGAGUGAGGGGCAGAAGGCAGUGGGCCCUGAGCCCUGUAGCGCGGAGGCCAGUGUGGAGCUGUGGUCCUAAGUCAGGGUUGGGGAAGUGUGGUGUCCUGCCCCUCCCCAGCUCAAAUUGUCUGCAAAUUCCCCUCUCUGUGGAGGAUGAGCAGGAGCAGGCCCUAAUACAGCAGCACCGUCGCAACAGGAUGAAGCAGGGGGUGAUUCAGGAUGAGGAGGUGCUGGCCAUCAUGAGGACGGUGUGCACAGGAAACCCCAUCCAGGAUGCCCACUCAAACCCAUCCUCUCUGGGAGGAGACACAGCCCAUUUGGUAGACAGGUUCAGGAGACAGUGUCUGGGGGAGUACCUGGACUCGCUGGACAAGUGUCACAACAAAGGGGUCAAUGUCAACCAGGCUACACUGGAGAGAGGUGAGACCCAAAGAAAACACAGGCACACAGAUCCAUGCCACACACACACACACAUAAUGUAA
rnacentral:lncRNA from 1 species